GACGUAGGGCGCGAGCGUUGUCCGGAUUUAUUGGGCGUAAAGAGCUCGUAGGCGGCUUGUCGCGUCGUCUGUGAAAUCCCGCGGCUCAACUGCGGGCUGGCAGUCGAUACGGGCAGGCUGGAGUUCGGUAGGGGAGACUGGAAUUCCUGGUGUAGCGGUGAAAUGCGCAGAUAUCAGGAGGAACACCGGUGGCGAAGGCGGGGCUCUGGGCCGAGACUGACGCUGAGGAGCGAAAGCGUGGGGAGCGAACAGG
rnacentral:rRNA from 1 species